UUUUUUUUUUGUUUUUUUUUAAAUUCUGUACAUGUUUGAUCACGUGACAUUGUAAGAGAAAAUAAAAAAAAAAACACUAAAGAAAAACAAGAGGAAGAAAAAAUGUUUCUGUUUCGUCCACUUUGAAGUCAAUCAACAAUUGAAAGGGAAGUCAGUGUUGAAGGCAUUGGGUGGGUCACUCCUACUAGCAUCAUGACGUCAUGUUUUGAGCUUUUGAAUGUGAUGUUUUAUUUUAUUUCACUAUGUUUGCUACUUUUUCUUUUCUACAAUAAAAUGUUUGUUUUCAAAUAAAC